CUGAUCCCGAGCUGCGAGGUGGAGGUUCUGCCAGACAAGUCCCCAGGCCGUGGCAGCCCCAACUGACUGAUGCCAUCCUUGGUUUUCCCCAACACUCGACUCAUCCAUGACAUCAGCUCGGGACUGAGAUGAACCAUGUGACUCACGCUAUGGUGGCUUCAGGAAAUUCUGCUUCCAGCCGACCACAUUUAUGGAGACACUAACAGCAGGGAGGGAAGAGACGCUGCGUGGGUCUUCUUCCGACCCAUUACUCUGCCCAAGCGCCAUGAGGCCCCCACAGGUGAGGAGGAGCAGCUGCUGCUCGAUCAUAUUCCAGCUUCUUCCCACUCUGCGUGUUCAUCUCCAGUUGCUCUUGGGAACAUGCACUGAACACCCACAAAAGGAAAUCAGUUUCCGGUCCAGCUUCUCCCCUUAGCAAGAGAGCUGCACCUCGAGCAGGUUCGCAGUGCAGCUGGCAUCUUCAUGUCCCCGCUCCGGCGUCAGCUCCUGUUGAGCCGGGGUCCCCCCCGUAUGCCACGUGCUGCACGGGACGUCAGGGGAGAGGACGACAGCCGCUCGGACCAGUGUGGAGAGCAGACUUGAGGGCUGCGCGGCACACAACUGGGCUCUGCCCCUGAUUCAGCUCCUUCCCAGCCUCUCGCUGAGCACAUAAACUGAUUCACUGAUAUUUCCAAGUGAAGUGUUUUCCUCCAAAGAGAAAAAGAGAGUCAGCAAGGCAAGAAAAGAGUGGGAAAACAAUCACACCCUGAGAUGGAGACCAGCUGGUAGUAAGACCUACAUCACAAGGAAAGGCAAGACCCAGCAAAGUGCAAUGACACUAAGCUCUUCCUCUGCACGUGACGGCUGAGACCAGGCCCUGCCCAGCAGGUGGGUACCAUAAAAGCUGGGCACCCUCCGCGCCAUCAGCCUGAGAUUUCUGAAACCUGUGUGCUGUCCUAUGCCAACGGUCUCUGAGUCUUCCGUCAGUGAGCACAAGAGCCCACACUGUGGCAGCACGCGACAGGCCUUGCACACCCCUCCAUCUGAUGGAGACGGUUACUGUGGGCCAUGUGUAGGCUGACUCGGGCAGCCCAUUGAAGACCUCACGGACAGAAUGGUGCACAUGGAGGAAAUGGUCACUGAUGUAAAUCUGAGCCUACUCCCUUGUGAAUAGGUGUCUUUCAUGCUGCAAGGGGAGGCACGAAUACUUGGUGUGUAGCUGAAGUUGCUGAUGUGACAGACACUAUCC
rnacentral:lncRNA from 1 species